UAUAAAGAAAAUCAGUACGAUUUCAUUUCUUUCUCUUCAUACUUGCAGUUUCUCAACAUCAGCUCCGUUACAUAAAUCAGAGCAGCGAGUGAUCGAAUCUGGGCAGGGUUCUGGAGGAGUCUCGGAGUCAGCGAAAAACGAGGCCAACGUUGGUGGAGCUGAGACUCUGAAUCCGACCUGGUGUACAUGACCUGAGAACAGACCUGAGAACAGACCUGAGAACAGACCUGAGAACAGACCUGAGAACAGACGGUGAGGACGGUCAGCUGAUCCAGCACUGGAUGCCGAUUGUCUCGUACCUGAAACACCUGAAGAAGAAGUGAAACUGCUGAUGCAAAGGACAGAACAGUCGAGGGAAAAGGCAGCAGGGACGGCUUCAGGACGAAGCUCCUUCACCCCCGUCUGUGUCCCAGUCUGUGUCCCCGUCUGUGUCCCCGUCUGUGUCCCAGUCUGUGUCCCCGUCUGUGUCCCCGUCUGUGUCCCAGUCUGUGUCCCCGUC